UAGAGGGUAUCAAUUACCUUAAAGGUUUCACUACAAGUGUGACUCAACCUCAAUUCUGAUCGAAGCUUCUUCAGUUGCUGUGGUGGUGAUUCAACAUCUAUUUGAAGUUUAUCCCUGUCUCAUUUCAGCCAAGGAUCAAUAUUACAACAUCAAAGUAGUUUCUACUGCAAAAGCUUUUUAUUGCGAUUUGUUUUAUUUUUGUAAGAAAUUGUAAUACAAUUACCCAACAGUAUGCCACUAAACUUCUACACCUGAAAUUGGAAUCUGCUCACCAAACCCAACAGGUACGCAACCCCCCUGUUCCUCUUACUCCAUCAAGUACUGAAAGUAGUGUUUCUUCUUGGUUGAACUCCGGCAUAGGAUCUGCUUUAGAAGGAAUAAAAGGCAUUGCGCCUAAGGUUUAUAACAUCACCGAAGAGCUACAGGGAAUUAAAAGGUUCCGAUUAAAAGUAAGGGAUAUCAACAAGAGGUUAAAAAGUGUAGCACAAGAAGGUGUUGCUCUAGGUUUGAACUUGAGCAUCGGAUCUGGGUCCUCAAGGCCUAAGGAAUUCAGUCAAAGGCCACCAACGAGUUCUUUGGUGAAUACAUCUAAUGUUUUUGGUAGAGAGGAAGAUAUGGAGGAGAUUUUCAGAUGGUUGAUAUCAGACAAUACUCCAAUUAACAAUGUUAAUUUUUUCUCAGAGCUGCCCAUAGUCGGCAUGGGUGGAGUUGGAAAGACGACCUUGCUCAACUUGUUCAUAAUGAGAGUUGAGAAGCAUUUUGGUAUGAAAGCUUGGGUCUGUGUCUCAGAAGACUUUGAUGUGGUGAGGUUAACCAAAGAAAUUCGUAAGUCAAUCACUGGAUCAUUCCCUCCUCCUAAUUCAAUAGACCUGCUACAGUUGAAACUUAAAGAAGCAUUGAGCAAGAAAAGAUUUUUAUUGGUUUUGGAAGACACAUGGAACGAGACUUAUGACAGAUGGGAUGCCUUAAGGACCCCUUUUGCAUUUGGUCAACCAGGGAGCAAAUAUUAGUUACUACACGGAACAAAGGCGUUUCAUUAAUUGUUCGCACUGUUCUGUACGAUAUUUAUCUAAAAGGUCUGCCAAAUGAAGAUUGUUUUGCACUAGUUUGAAGGCACACUUUCAUGGAUGAAAAUUCAUCUGAUACAAAUCAAAAUUUGGAAGUAUUUGGAGAUGAAAUUGUGAAGAAAUGUAAGGGUUUACCUUUGGCUAUAAAGUCACUUGCUGACCUUUUGCGAGAUAAAAAGGAGAAUUGUGAGUGGGAACUGGGAAGAUAUUUUGAAGAAUAAAAUUUGGGAUUUAAGAGAGGGUGAGAUCCUUUCAUUGCUCAUGUUGAGUUAUCAUCAUCUUCCACCACAUCUAAAGAGAUGCUUCGCAUAUUGUGCUUUGUUUCCCAAAGACUACGAAUUUAAAAAAACUGAAUUAGUUGUCUUGUGGAUGGUGGAAGGUCUUGUUCAACCAAAAGGAAGUAAACGGCUGGAAGAUAUAGGGGCUGGGUAGUUUGAUGAACUGGUAAUGCGGUCUUUCUUGGAGUUAUCUAAUCGACAUCAUCCUUUGGCAACAUGAUCGUUCCUUAUUGAAUUAUCAAAGGAAAUUCAUAAUAGGUCAUUAUUUGAGUCAUUCGGUAACACGGGAUCAACAUUUGUGAUGCAUGAUCUGAUCGAUGAUUUAGCACAAUUUGUUUCAGGUGGAAUAUAUUGUAAGAAAAACUAUGAUAUGUCAUCCCCUGUUCUUACGACAACUCGCCACUUGUCCUAUGUUAUGGACAAUUAUAAUGUUGAUGUAGAGUCUGGGGCAAUGAAAAGUUUACGCAUCCCACUAUACUUGAAGAAUUGGAGAUCAUUGAUUGUGUGAAUUUGGAGUCCUUGCCCAUGGGACUAUUGCACAGCCUCACGUCCUUCCAAAGAUUAAAAAUCAAAGAGUUUCCUGCUCUUGAAUCCAUUCCAGAUAUGGGCUUAUCCACUAUGCUUCGAGAAGUAUCGAUUCUAAAUUGUGGGCUGCUAAAUUGCUUUCCCAAGGGGCUGCACAAACUCACAAAUCUUAAACAACUGGAAAUUGUGGAGUGUUCUUUUCUUAUGGAGUGCAAGAAUCUUGAACCCCUACAAACCUCAGAUCUUCAUAAUCUCAUCUCUCUUUCAUAUCUCACCAUUGGUGGAUGUCAUGCUGUCAUGUCCAUUCCAAAUGGCCUGCUUCCCACCAAGCUUUGGGAUUUUUGCGUCAAGGACUGUCAAAUUCUUGAAUCCCUCUAUGAUGGACUCUCUGACCUAACCUCUCUUAAACGUUUGGAGAUCCAGAAUUGUCCAAUGCUGACACAAAGGUACCAAAAGAAGCAAGGAGAAGAGUGGUCCAAGAUUUCCCAAAUUCCUAAGGUGUUAAUAGACGGCAUAUGGCCAUGAAGCCUAAACACCACAUGUUAAAUCUAUGGAUGGAGUACUACAGGCAGAGUGUCUAACAUGCAAAACUAAAAUAAAAGCAGAGAUGCAUUGCAGCUAAUAAUGAGGAGAAUCACGAGAUGGAAUGUCUUUCUUUGAAAAUGCUCAAGAACAAACAAAAAGCGGCAUGGAAAUUUCAUGGAACUGUAAUUUCUCUCAGAUGCAAUGAUUUUCUUUGAAAAUGCCCAGGAAUAGACACAAAGUGUCGUGGCAAUUGCAUGGAAAUUUUCAGAAAAUUAAUGCAACCUAGCAUUGUAUCUAUAAGGUAUCACUUAUCAGCAUCCUGUUUGUUUUCUGCCUACCCUGAAGCUUCAAUUGGUUAGCAAGAAUCAUGGAUGUUCAAUUCAGGAGGAAUCUGUUCUACAAGUCAGCAAGUUAUGUUAUGCAGAGGGUACACUUCCACAGUAUGUCAUGGGGUAUCCAGACAUCAAAUUAAAUUCUAAAUCACUUUUCUGAUGCUCCACAUCAAGAUGCAAUAGCUGAAUCCUGGAUAUGUUUUGAAAGCAAGGGAAUCAUUGAUUAUACAGUCCAAAUGUGAGAAGAAAUGCUCCAAUGGAUCCAAUGGAUGAGUAUGGAACAGAUUCCAUAUUGGACGUUAGUGCAUUAUUUUAUCACUCUUCGACUUUCUGUGUUGACAAAACUAGGUGAUUUUGGUUGACAACCUAGACAGUCUCAAGCAUAUUUUGUCACUAGUUGGUACAUUGAAAAAUGGUUUAGCACCAAGUAGAUUGUAUCCUAACAUACUAGUAGAUUAAUUCUAAUACCCUAUUCACACACUAGAAAGAUGCUAAUGUAUUUUGAUAGCAUGUGAGUUGAAUUAGUCACAUUGGAAAUAAAGAAAUCCAUAGAUAUUCAAAUUGUUCCCAAUUUAACCACACUUUCAACAUGAUACCAUAUUGAACUGU